rnacentral:rRNA from 1 species
AGUGGAUGGGGAGCAACCUAGUUGUGCGUGUGUAAAGGUAGUGCCAAGAAAAGCGAUGAUCAUGUUGAAAAUCAAUUCCCGGUACCCGAAACCGACACAGGUGGGCAAGUAGAGAAUACUAAGGGGCGCGAGGUAACUCUCUCCAAGGAACUCGGCAAAAUGACCCCGUAACUUAGGGAGAAGGGGUGCCACCGAGAGGUGGUCGCAGUGAAGAGGCCCAGGCGACUGUUUAGUAAAAACAUAGGUCUCUGCAAACUCGAAAGAGGAGGUAUAGGGGCUGACGCCUGCCCAGUGCCGGAAGGUUAAAGAAGUUGGUCAGUUUUAGGAUGAAGCUAGCGACUGAAGCCCCGGUGAACGGCGGCCGUAACUAUAACGGUCCUAAGGUAGCGAAAUUCCUUGUCGGGUAAGUUCCGACCCGCACGAAAGGCGUAACGAUCUGGGCGCUGUCUCGGAGAGAGGCUCGGCGAAAUAGGAUUGUCUGUGAAGAUACGGACUACCUGCAUUUGGACAGAAAGACCCUAUGAAGCUUUACUAUAGCUUGGAAUUGUGUUCGGGCUUCCUGUGCGCAGGAUAGGUGGGAGGCGUAGAAGGUAUUCUUGUGGGGAUACUGGAGCCAACGGUGAGAUACCACUCUCAGGAGGCUAGAAUUCUAACUUAAUUAAGGACAGUUUCAGGUGGGUAGUUUGACUGGGGCGGUCGCCUCCAAAAAGGUAACGGAGGCGUACAAAGGUUCCCUCAGACUGGUUGGAAAUCAGUCGAAGAGUGCAAAGGCAGAAGGGAGCUUGACUGCGAGAAGUACAGUUCGAGCAGGGUGGAAACACGGUCUUAGUGAUCCGACGGUGCUGUGUGGAAGGGCCGUCGCUCAACGGAUAAAAGUUACUCUAGGAUAACAGGCUGAUCUCCCCCAAGAGUUCACAUCGACGGGGAGGUUUGGCACCUCGAUGUCGGCUCAUCGCAACCUGGGGCGGAAGUACGUCCCAAGGGUUGGGCUGUUCGCCCAUUAAAGCGGUACGUGAGCUGGGUUCAGAACGUCGUGAGACAGUUCGGUCCAUAUCCGAUGUAGGCGUGAGAAUAUUGAGAGCAGCCUUCCUUAGUACGAGAGGACCGGGAAGGACGCACCGCUGGUGUACCUGUUAUGAUGCCAAUUGUAAACGCAGGGUAGCCAAGUGCGGAGAGGAUAACCGCUGAAAGCAUCUAAGUGGGAAGCCCACCUCAAGAUGAGUAUUCUGGUGUAAGGUCACGGGAAGACGACCCGUAAAUAGGCACGAGGUGGAAGUGCAGAGAUGUAUGAAGCCGAAGUGUACUAAUAGACCGUCGGCUUGACC